UAGCGGCGAACGGCUGAGUAACGCGUGGGAAUCUACCCAUAACUCAGGGAUAGCCCACCGAAAGGUGGAGUAAUCCCGGAUGUGGUCUUCGGAUCAAAGUCGCAAGACGGUUGUGGAUGAGCCUGCGUCCUAUCAGGUUGUUGGCAGGGUAAAAGCCUACCAAGCCUUUGACGGGUAGCUGGUCUGAGAGGAUGACCAGCCAGAAUGGGACUGAGACACGGCCCAUACUCCUACGGGAGGCAGCAAUCAGGAAUUUUCCGCAAUGGACGAAAGUCUGACGGAGCGACGCCGCGUGGAGGAAGACAGCCUUCGGGUUGUAAACUCCUUUUAUGAGGGAACAAGUUCUGAGUGUACCUCAUGAAUAAGGUGCUGCAAACUACGUGCCAGAAGCAUCGGUGAUACGUAGGCACCAAACUUUAUCCGGAUUUACUGGGCGUAAAGAGAAGCGUAGGUGUCUUGGCAAGUCUUGUGUUAAAUCUAUCGGCUUAACCGAUAAACCGCGCAAGAAACUAUCAAGAUUGAGUCAGCUAGGGGGAGAUGGAAUUUCCAGUGUAGCAGUGAAAUGCGUUGAUAUUGGAAAGAACACCAAUGGCGAAGGCAAUCUCCUGGGGCUUGACUGACACUAAGGCUCGAAAGCGUGGGGAGCAAAACGGAUUAGAUACCCGUGUAGUCCACGCCCUAAACAAUCUCUGCUAGUUGUCGGGG
rnacentral:rRNA from 1 species